CGCUUUCUCCAAUCUGCUA
rnacentral:siRNA from 1 species